UACGUAGGGGGCCAGCGUUGCUCGGAAUUACUGGGCGUAAAGGGUUCGUAGGUGGUGCGGUAAGUCACCUGUGAAAUCUCCUGGCUCAACUGGGAGCUUGCAGGCGAAACUGCCGUGCUGGAGUGUGGGAGAGGUGCGUGGAAUUCCUGGUGUAGCGGUGAAAUGCGUAGAUAUCAGGAGGAACACCUGUGGCGAAGGCGGCUACCUGGACGAGAUACUGACGCUGAGGCGCGAGAGCGUGGGGAGCAAACAGG
rnacentral:rRNA from 1 species